rnacentral:rRNA from 1 species
GCCAGACUCCUACGGGAGGCAGCAGUGAGGAAUAUUGGUCAAUGGGCUAAGGCCUGAACCAGCCAAGUCGCGUGAGGGAAGACGGUCCUAUGGAUUGUAAACCUCUUUUGUCGGGGAGCAACGAGGCCACGUGUGGCCGAAGUGAGAGUACCCGAAGAAAAAGCAUCGGCUAACUCCGUGCCAGCAGCCGCGGUAAUACGGAGGAUGCGAGCGUUGUCCGGAAUUACUGGGCGUAAAGGGCGCGUAGGUGGGCGCUUAAGUCAGGUGUGAAAACUCCGGGCUCAACCUGGAGACUGCACUUGAAACUGGGUGUCUUGAGGGCAGGAGAGGAAAGUGGAAUUCCUAGUGUAGCGGUGAAAUGCGUAGAUAUUAGGAGGAACACCAGUGGCGAAGGCGACUUUCUGGACUGUACCUGACGCUGAGGCGCGAAAGCGUGGGUAGCGAACGGGAUUAGAUACCCGAGUAU